ACAGAGGUGGCAAGCGUUGUUCGGAUUUAUUGGGCGUAAAGGGUCCGUAGGCGGCCUGAAAAGUUGGAUGUGAAAUCCCACAGCUUAACUGUGGAACUGCAUUCAAAACUCUCAGGCUCGAGUGUGAUAGGGGUAAAGGGAAUUCCCGGUGUAAGGGUGAAAUCUGCAGAGAUCGGGAGGAACACCAGUCGCGAAGGCGCUUUACUGGAUCACUACUGACGCUGAGGGACGAAAGCCAGGGGAGCAAACGGG
rnacentral:rRNA from 1 species